UGAAUACGAGAUGCUACGGCGUCGAAGCAGUCUAUGUCAUACUUCCAAGAAAAGCAUGCACUGUCAUAAACAAAUAAUGCCUGUACCAUAACCGACACAGGUGGGUAGGUAGAGUAUACUAAGGGGCGCGAGAUAACUCUCUCUAAGGAACUCGGCAAAAUGACUCCGUAACUUCGGGAGAAGGAGUGCCUUAUUUAUAAGGUUGCAAUAACAAGAUCCAAGCAACUGUUUACCAAAAACACAGGUCUCCGCUAAGUCGUAAGACGAUGUAUGGGGGCUGACGCCUGCCCAGUGCCAGAAGGUUAAAGAAGUUGGUUAGCAUCCGCGAAGCUGAUAACUGAAGCCCUGGUGAACGGCGGCCGUAACGAUAACGGUCCUAAGGUAGCGAAAUUCCUUGUCGGGUAAGUUCCGACCCGCACGAAAGGCGUAAUGAUUUGGAUACUGUCUCGGAGAGGGGCUCGGUGAAAUAGACUUGUCUGUGAAGAUGCGGACUACCUGCACCAGGACAGAAAGACCCUAUGAAGCUUUACUGUAACCUGAAAUUGAAAUUGGACUUUACUUGCGCAGUAUAGGUGGGAGGCGUUGAGAAUAUUCUUGCGGGAUUAUUGGAGCCAUCAGUGAGAUACCACUCUUGUAAUGUUAGAUUUCUAACUUUGUAUCAUUAUCUGGUCAAAGAACAGUUUCAGGCGGGCAGUUUGACUGGGGCGGUCGCCUCCUAAACGGUAACGGAGGCGCACAAAGGUUUCCUCUGAACGGGUAGAAAUCGUAUCUAGAGUGUAAAGGCAUAAGGAAGCUUGACUGUGAGACCUACAAGUCGAGCAGGGACGAAAGUCGGUCUUAGUGAUCUGACGGUGCUGAGUGGAAAGGCCGUCACUCAACGGAUAAAAGUUACUCUAAGGAUAACAGGCUGAUCUCCCCCAAGAGUUCACAUAGACGGGGAGGUUUGGCACCUCGAUGUCGGCUCAUCGCAUCCUGGGGCGGUAGUACGUCCCAAGGGUUGGGCUGUUCGCCCAUGAAAGCGGUACGCGAGCUGGGUUCAGAACGUCGUGAGACAGUUCGGUCCAUAUCCGGUGUAGGCGUUAGAAUAUUGAGGGGAGCCUUCUUUAGUACGAGAGGACCGAGAAGGACAUACCUCUGGUGUACCAGUUAUCGUGCCAACGGUAAACGCUGGGUAGCUAUGUGUGGAGUGGAUAACCGCUGAAAGCAUCUAAGUGGGAAGCCCACCUCAAGAUAAGUAUUCUCAC
rnacentral:rRNA from 1 species